rnacentral:tRNA from 1 species
GUUUCUGUAGUGUAGUGGUUAUCUCAUUCGCUUUACGCGCGAAACGUCCCUGGUUCGAAACCGGGCAGAAGGGGAAGCA